CCUACGGGGGGCAGCAGUGGGGAAUAUUGCACAAUGGGGGAAACCCUGAUGCAGCGACGCCGCGUGAGUGAAGAAGGAUUUCGGUAUGUAAAGCUCUAUCAGCAGGGAAGAAAAUGACGGGACCUGAAGAAGAAGCCCCGGCGAACGACGUGCCAGCAGCCGCGGGAAUACGUAGGGGGCAAGCGUUAUCCGGAUUUACGGGGUGUAAAGGGAGCGUAGAGGGCAGCGCAAGUCUGAUGUGAAAUGCCGGGGCUUAACCCCGGAACUGCUUUCGAAACUGUGCAGCUAGAGUGCAGGAGAGGUAAGUGGAAUUCCUGGUGUAGCGGUGAAAUGCGUAGAUAUUAGGAGGAACCCCAGUGGCGAAGGCGGCUUCCUGGACUGUACCUGACGUUGAGGCUCGAAAGCGUGGGGAGCAAACAGGAUUAGAUACCCGGGUAGUC
rnacentral:rRNA from 1 species